AUGGAGGCAUAUUCCACACCUAAGCCACCUUUGCAAGGGACAAAAUUUGACACCCUGGAGAGCGCACGUGACCACUAAAGCACCUACGCGCGCAGGACCGGCUUUGCAAUUAGGCAGCAAUUCAAGAAAGAGAGGGUUGAUGGAACUAUAAGCAGGGUGCUACUAGUUUGUACAAAAUAUGGCAAACGACAUAAGGACAGGGAUGAGCUGCAAGAUGUGGAAAACCCAGCUAGCAUUGUCAAGAAAAGGAAAAAACGAGCUGUUAGGACUGAAUGUGAAGCGCACAUGUACCUAUCCCACGAUGAUGCAUGGUGGACUGUUGACCGUUUUGAGGACACCCACAAUCACCCCCUGAUCAAACCUUCCCUAACAAAAUUCUUAUCAUCACAUUGGUACAUUCCGAAGGAGGAGCAAGACUUCUUGAGGGUUCUGCACGGAUGCAACGUUGAGACUGCGAGGCAGAUGCAGCUGAUGUCAUGGUUCUACGGGAGCGCUAAAGACGUACCCUACACGACACAAGACAUUGCUAAUCAACGAGCUAAGUUCCGCUUAGAGUACCACCACAAGGACGUUGGGAGCACAAUUGCAUACUUCCAAGAGAUGAGGGCCAAAGAUUCAUAGGAAGAGUUUGAAAACAAAUGGUGGACAAUGAUGGAUGAAUAUGGCCAGAUCGAAAAUGAACAUUUUCAAUGGCUGUGGGAAAAUAGGAAAUGUUGGGACCCAAUGUAUUACAUGAAGCAUUUCUUUCCAUUCUUGCAGACAACUGCAAGGAGCAAGGGAUUCAAUAAUGUGCUCAAGAAGUACGUGAACCCCAACAACUCAUUGAUUGAAUUCGCAACUCAAUACACUGCAAUCCAGGAGAAAGGAAUGGUGGUUGUGGCGAAAGAGCAAGUGGACACAAUUUACAAAGAGGCAGACAUGUAUUCGUUGAACCCAAUCGAGUUACAGAUGCGAGGGAUAUACACACAAAAUCUGUUCUCCAAGUUCUAGGUAGAGAUGAAGCUAAAGACUGCUUACGGAUGCGACACUUUGCAAGAUGGAACCUUCAGGAUGUGGUUGCUCCGAGGCAUACUACCAAAGUAUGGGGAUAGGGACUACCAUGUGCAGGCGAACAAGGAUGAAGGGGUAUACUCAUGCACUUGCUGCAAGUUUGAUCGCGAUGGGCUAUUAUGCACACACAUACUACGAGUAAUGGAACAGAUUGGAGUCUAUGAGAUACCAAGGAGGUAUAUCCUGGAUAGGUGGACAUGGGAUCCAGAAGAGGAUAUUGUUCAGCCUGAUUACCAACAACCAACAGUUAAGAAGGGUAUGACAGAGGAAGGAAAAAAUAUCAUGAGAUAUACAUCUAUUCUGAAUGAUUUCAAGGAACAAGCAAAAGAUGCUUGCACUACUGAUGAAGGGAUGGCAUUGGCAAGGAAACAUGUUAAUGCUUUCAGAGACGACAUGUGA
rnacentral:rRNA from 1 species